CCUACGGGUGGCAGCAGUGAGGAAUAUUGGUCAAUGGGCGAGAGCCUGACCCAGCAACGCCGCGUGAAGGAAGAAGGCUUUCGGGUUGUAAACUUCUUUUGACAGGGAAGAGCAGAAGACGGUACCUGUCGAAUAAGCCACGGCUAACUACGUGCCAGCAGCCGCGGUAAUACGUAGGUGGCAAGCGUUGUCCGGAUUUACUGGGUGUAAAGGGCGGGUAGACGGGCUGACAAGUCAGAGGUGAAAUCCGGGGGCUCAACCCCCGAACUGCAUUUGAAACUGUUGGUCUUGAGUAUCGGAGAGGCAGGCGGAAUUCCUAGUGUCGCGGUGAACUGCGUAGAUAUUAGGAGGAACCCCGGUGGCGAAGGCGGCUUACCGGACUGUACCUGCCGUUGAGGCUCGAACGCGUGGGGAGCAAACAGGAUUAGAUACCCUUGUAGUC
rnacentral:rRNA from 1 species